ACGUUACCCGCGGAAUAAGCACCGGCUAACUCCGUGCCAGCAGCCGCGGUAAUACGGAGGGUGCGAGCGUUAAUCGGAAUUACUGGGCGUAAAGCGUGCGUAGGCGGAUGGGUCAGUCAGCCGUGAAAGCCCCGGGCUUAACCUGGGAACGGCGGUUGAGACGGCCCGUCUUGAGUGGGCUAGAGGAUCGUGGAACUCCCGGUGUAGCGGUGAAAUGCGUAGAGAUCGGGAAGAACACCGAUGGCGAAGGCAGCGAUCUGGGGCCACACUGACGCUGAGGCACGACGGCGUGGGGAGCAAACAGGAUUAGAUACCCUGGUAGUCCACGCGGUAAACGAUGAGCACUAGACGUUGGGCGGGUGACCGUCCGGUGUCGUAGCUAACGCGCUAAGUGCUCCGCCUGGGGAGUACGGCCGCAAGGUUGAAAAAAAAAGGAAUUGACGGGGGCCCGCACAAGCGG
rnacentral:rRNA from 1 species